CUACGUGCCAGCAGCCGCGGUAAUACGGAGGGUGCGAGCGUUAAUCGGAAUAACUGGGCGUAAAGGGCACGCAGGCGGUGACUUAAGUGAGGUGUGAAAGCCCCGGGCUUAACCUGGGAAUUGCAUUUCAUACUGGGUCGCUAGAGUACUUUAGGGAGGGGUAGAAUUCCACGUGUAGCGGUGAAAUGCGUAGAGAUGUGGAGGAAUACCGAAGGCGAAGGCAGCCCCUUGGGAAUGUACUGACGCUCAUGUGCGAAAGCGUGGGGAGCAAACAGGAUUAGAUACCCUGGUAGUCCACGCUGUAAACGCUGUCGAUUUGGGGAUUGGGCUUUAAGCUUGGUGCCCGUAGCUAGCGUGAUAAAUCGACCGCCUGGGGAGUACGGCCGCAAGGUCAAAACUCAAAUGAAUUGACGGGGGCCCGCACAAGCGGUGGAGCAUGUGGUUUAAUUCGAUGCAACGCGAAGAACCUUACCUACUCUUGACAUCCAUGGAAUCUUGUAGAGAUACGGGAGUGC
rnacentral:rRNA from 1 species